rnacentral:rRNA from 1 species
UACAGAGGUCUCAAGCGUUGUUCGGAUUCAUUGGGCGUAAAGGGUGUGUAGGUGGCGCCGUAAGUCGGGUGUGAAAUUUCGGAGCUUAACUCCGAAACUGCAUUCGAUACUGCGGUGCUUGAGGACUGGAGAGGAGACUGGAAUUCAUAGUGUAGCAGUGAAAUGCGUAGAGAUCAUGAGGAAGACCAGUGGCGAAGGCGGGUCUCUGGACAGUUCCUGACACUGAGACACGAAGGCCAGGGGAGCAAACGGG